UACGUAGGGGGCAAGCGUUGUCCGGAUUUAUUGGGCGUAAAGAGCGUGUAGGCGGCCAGAUAGGUCAGCUGUGAAAACUCGAGGCUCAACCUCGAGACGCCGGUUGAAACCAUCUGGCUAGAGUCCGGAAGAGGAGAGUGGAAUUCCUGGUGUAGCGGUGAAAUGCGCAGAUAUCGGAAAGAACAUCAGUGGCGAAGGCGGCUUCCUGGACUCAUACUGACGCUGAGGCGCGAAAGCGUGGGGAGCGAACAGG
rnacentral:rRNA from 1 species